rnacentral:rRNA from 1 species
CGCGUAGGCGGCUACUUAAGUCGGAUGUGAAAGCCCUUGGCUCAACUGAGGAAGUGCACCCGAAACUGAGUGGCUUGAGUACUAAAGAGGGUCGCGGAAUUCCCGGUGUAGAGGUGAAAUUCGUAGAUAUCGGGAGGAACACCGGUGGCGAAGGCGGCGACCUGGGUAGAUACUGACGCUGAGGCGCGAAAGCGUGGGGAGCAAACAGGAUUAGAUACCCUGGUAGUCCACGCCGUAAACGAUGGGUGCUAGAUGUUUCUGGUAUUGACCCCGGAGGCGUCGUAGCUAACGCGUUAAGCACCCCGCCUGGGAAGUACGGCCGCAAGGCUAAA